rnacentral:rRNA from 1 species
AACGAACGCUGGCGGCGUGGAUAAGACAUGCAAGUCGAACGCUAAUUUCGGGGUAGCAAUAUUCCGGAGUUGGAGUGGCGAAAGGGUGCGUAACAUGUGGGUAAUCUGCCGUGAAGUUUGGGAUAACUUGCUGAAAGGCGAGCUAAUACCGGAUGUAAUCGCUAGGAGGUUUCUCUUGGCGAUUAAAGUUGGGGACCGCAAGGCCUGACGCUUCAUGAUGAGCCCGCAUCCUAUCAGCUAGUUGGUGAGGUAACGGCUCACCAAGGCUAAGACGGGUAGCUGGUCUGAGAGGACGACCAGCCACACUGGAACUGAGACACGGUCCAGGCACCUACGGGUGGCAGCAGUCGAGAAUUUUUCACAAUGGGCGAAAGCCUGAUGGAGCGACGCCGCGUGGGGGAUGAAGGGCUUCGGUCCGUAAACCCCUGUCAUUUGCGAACAAACCUUUCCACCUAACACGUGGAGAGCUGAUUGUAGCGAAAGAGGAAGGGACGGCUAACUCUGUGC